UACGUAGGGCGCAAGCGUUGUCCGGAAUUAUUGGGCGUAAAGAGCUCGUAGGCGGCCUGUCGCGUCUGCUGUGAAAUCCCGGGGCUUAACCCCGGGCGUGCAGUGGAUACGGGCUGGCUGGAGUUCGGUAGGGGAGACUGGAAUUCCUGGUGUAGCGGUGAAAUGCGCAGAUAUCAGGAGGAACACCGGUGGCGAAGGCGGGUCUCUGGGCCGAUACUGACGCUGAGGAGCGAAAGCGUGGGGAGCAAACAGG
rnacentral:rRNA from 1 species